CUAAUAAUGAUCUUUUCCAAGGUUAUGGAGAUGACUCAUCUUCAGAAUCCGAUGAUUGUGAAGCAUUUGGUCGGCUUCCAAUGAAAAUGUCCCCAAAACAAUCUCUGCCAACAACAUCCAGGGCAUCUGGUGGGCAAGCCAAUGGAGCAGGAGCGGGACCCAAAAAGACCACAUCACCAAACACAUCAUGUGAAUUCUACAAUACAUAUACAAAUGUAUAUGCACCAGUUGUCAUUGACAGCAGUUCCUCAGAUGUUGAGGAAGUCGACUACUCUCAGGUGGAAGACAGGUACUUUGAUACAAAUAAUGCUGUUAGCCUUGUUAUUUUUUUCUUUCCCUCAGAUGAAAUAUUAAUCGGCCCAAUUACAUUGGGCAUUUUACCUGGUUUCUGUUGCCAUAUUAAAGUAAAUAUUUGAAUUUCAUAUGUUUUUACUUAAAUGACGCCUUAACAGAAAAACAAUCUGGCAAAAAUUAUUGAAAGCUUGCAACGUGUGCUUCAUGCUUAUGCCCAUCACAUUUCCUCACACUCAUAUGGUGUACUUACUGUAAUGGGCCCAUAAAAUACAAAAAUAUUAAUAUUUUAACCAUGUUCAUAACCAAGAGGAGGCAGCGUU